UGUGUUCCAGGUAAAUCCGGUUCACUUUAACACUGAGGCGUGACGACGAGGCACUACGGUGCUGAAGCAACAAAUGCCCUGCUUCCAGGAAAAGCCUCUAAGCAUCAGGUAACAUCAAAUCGUACCCCAAACCGACACAGGUGGUCAGGUAGAGAAUACCAAGGCGCUUGAGAGAACUCGGGUGAAGGAACUAGGCAAAAUGGUGCCGUAACUUCGGGAGAAGGCACGCUGACACGUAGGUGAAGUGAUUUACUCACGGAGCUGAAGUCAGCCGAAGAUACCAGCUGGCUGCAACUGUUUAUUAAAAACACAGCACUGUGCAAACACGAAAGUGGACGUAUACGGUGUGACGCCUGCCCGGUGCCGGAAGGUUAAUUGAUGGGGUCAGCGCAAGCGAAGCUCCUGAUCGAAGCCCCGGUAAACGGCGGCCGUAACUAUAACGGUCCUAAGGUAGCGAAAUUCCUUGUCGGGUAAGUUCCGACCUGCACGAAUGGCGUAAUGAUGGCCAGGCUGUCUCCACCCGAGACUCAGUGAAAUUGAACUCGCUGUGAAGAUGCAGUGUACCCGCGGCAAGACGGAAAGACCCCGUGAACCUUUACUAUAGCUUGACACUGAACAUUGAGCCUUGAUGUGUAGGAUAGGUGGGAGGCUUUGAAGUGUGGACGCCAGUCUGCAUGGAGCCGACCUUGAAAUACCACCCUUUAAUGUUUGAUGUUCUAACGUGGACCCGUGAUCCGGGUUGCGGACAGUGUCUGGUGGGUAGUUUGACUGGGGCGGUCUCCUCCUAAAGAGUAACGGAGGAGCACGAAGGUUGGCUAAUCCUGGUCGGACAUCAGGAGGUUAGUGCAAUGGCAUAAGCCAGCUUGACUGCGAGCGUGACGGCGCGAGCAGGUGCGAAAGCAGGUCAUAGUGAUCCGGUGGUUCUGAAUGGAAGGGCCAUCGCUCAACGGAUAAAAGGUACUCCGGGGAUAACAGGCUGAUACCGCCCAAGAGUUCAUAUCGACGGCGGUGUUUGGCACCUCGAUGUCGGCUCAUCACAUCCUGGGGCUGAAGUAGGUCCCAAGGGUAUGGCUGUUCGCCAUUUAAAGUGGUACGCGAGCUGGGUUUAGAACGUCGUGAGACAGUUCGGUCCCUAUCUGCCGUGGGCGCUGGAGAACUGAGGGGGGCUGCUCCUAGUACGAGAGGACCGGAGUGGACGCAUCACUGGUGUUCGGGUUGUCAUGCCAAUGGCACUGCCCGGUAGCUAAAUGCGGAAGAGAUAAGUGCUGAAAGCAUCUAAGCACGAAACUUGCCCCGAGAUGAGUUCUCCCUGAGACUUUAGGUCUCCUGAAGGAACGUUGAAGACGACGACGUUGAUAGGCCGGGUGUGUAAGCGCAGCGAUGCGUUGAGCUAACCGGUACUAAUGAACCGUGAGGCUUAACCUU
rnacentral:rRNA from 1 species